UGGACCUGUCGGCCUGGAGGGAGGGGUGUUCAGGUGAAACAGCACAGCACCAGACUCUUUGACCUCAGGGCAGGGGGGGCGGCACCAUUUUCACAAUCAUUUGUCACCCACUGUUUAACCUCGUGUGUUUUAUUUCUUCUCUAACCCACUUGUACGGAAACCGUUCUUCAUGUGUGGUGUUUAAUCUUGCAGACUCGGGUGGUAGCUGUAAUGAAGUCAGUGCAGCAAAGACUGUGAUGGACUCGGAAUCCGCGGACCAAGAGGACCAAGAGGUCCUCCAGGCCCUCAAGGACAACAAGGUUGAGUAGGACCCCCAGGGCCCAGAGGUCCCCCUGGACCAACAUCACUCAACCUUAAUGCUUCACAGCCAAAAUCUGCCUUCUCUGUUCUCCUGGGCAAGUACAUCUCCACCUCAGACAGAAUCAUCCAUUUCCAUCAAAUCAUCUACAACGAACAGAACCAUUACAGCCCAGAGUCUGGUAUGUUUACAUGUGUCAUCCCCGGUGUCUACCAGUUCAGCUUUGUCUGCAUAUCCUACAACGGCGUAGUGAGCAUGACCUGUGGCGUAACAACAGGGUGGUACUGAACAGUUACCACACUUAUCAGGGAGGUCGCCAUUUGGCAUCAGGGGACACGGUGAUGCUGUUGAAGGCGGGAGACAGAGUGUGGGUGGAGGCCAUAGAUGGGAGCAGCAGCUUGAGCAGCAAAAGCUACCUGUCUGGACACCUGGUCUUCACUGUGUGACGCUAACACUUUAUCUCCAGGCUUAAACUUCUAAUACACCGGUGUUCUGUCUGCUUUGGAAUCUCUUUUCAUGACUUCACCUUUUUGUACUAAAAUACACGCACAAAAAUCAGCUUUUAUUGAAUAUCUUAUAAUUUCAUGUAUUAUUUUUUUCUUUUUGGUCUAUGAGGCAGACAUGGGCACAACCCACAAACUCAUGUUUAUGUACAUGUUUUUAUCCUUAUGGAAACAAACAAAUUUUAUUUUUAAUUCAUCAAGCGACCUUAUGAACAUGAAAUAUGAUUGCAGGAAAUCUAUAUUAUUCUGUUACAGCAUGUAGUCUUUCAUCAGUGCCAAAUUUAUAUGAUGGAAUUUGCUGGUGUUAUAAGAGAUAAUUUUAUGCACUGAUGAAAUCAAGCAUGCAUUUUUAAUGCUGUGUUGUGCUUUGACUGUGAGGCUAAUUUUUACUGUAACUUUCAUAUUUAUCUGUAUUUUGCAUUGAAUUAAUAAACUGAACUGCAUUGAA